AUUGGGUAUUUUCUGGGUGCUGAGCUUUAAACUGACGAGUGGAGAGUUAAUUCAAUGUGUCAGUCCACCCAUAGAUGGUACUCGGGUGACACUAUAUCGUUGGGUACAGUUGACUUACCACUUUAAGUACGAAUGUCGGUCAGUGGUGUUAAUGUGAAUAUUGCCCACAAGAUAUCGCUGUCUGUACCCGACUCUGACCUUAUUUGUUUGUCGGAGUAUAUUUAAGAAACGGUUUAAUUAACCUUUGACACUUAAGGCUUAUUCUCUCCUCCCUCACAGUCACCUAAUUUCCAAUUACACGUUUAUUUUUUUUUUUCUUUUCACAAAACAAAAGAUUUUUUUCACCAAUAAAAAUGUCAAUAUAUUUCGAUUAUAUGUUAAAAAAAAGGCUUUUUAGCUCAACACCACUAAAUAACUAAUCUGUUUUUCCCAUCAGUACUACCUUUUAUAGGUUCGGGAACAAAAAUGGUUCCUUUCCAUUACUAGCCAUUUUCCUAGCCCUCAAGAUUUGUCCCUUUUUUCCUAAAACCAGUCGUCCCCCUCUAGGUUUAUCUGCAACAAACCCUUUGCAACAUUCUGAAAUCCCAUUUUCUCCGAACCUUUUAAGAGUAACUUUCACUCUUAAAAACAACCCCUUUUGCCGAUAAUACUGUAUCAUUCAAUUUUUUUACGCUCUGUUUUACCGACACGGAUCUUUCGUUUGUCCGAACACUUCCUAAAAUUUGGAGACUUAGAUUCACCAUAUGACCCAAAUGUCAAAAUUACGAAGAAGUCAAAAUCACGCAAAACACCAACAGCCAACACCAAGCGGCAUCGUUCCAGUUUUAAUUAUUAAAAUUUUUAUUAAUAUUUUUUUCUUUCUUUUCAGCUUUUUUCUUGCAGGUAUGGCCCCCAUGAUGAGAUGCAGGAAACAUUAAAUUCUUUCAAUAGAAGCAAGUAUUCCCCAGCGUUUAUUUGGUUUUCCUAUGAUGGAGAAUAUUGUUUCCUGUAUUUCACAUGUUGGGCUUUCGAUCAGUGUGGGCAAUGGAUUGAUGGCAUGACAAUCCAGUUGUCCAUCCAUAUUUUAUAAAGGGUGCAACGACAAACCAUUACACCCCAACGAAUCAAAAAAAAAAAAAACAAGCAAAACGGCACCUGGGCAUGGCUAAACAGACUUGGCACUAUGUUUACCCCCUUUUCAGUGCCCAGUUGUCUCCAUUAUUUACUCCCCCAUAAAAGAAAACAAAAAAAACUUAGUGAACACGGCGGUCACGAGAGGCAUUACAGUGGCCUGCCCAUCCGGGAGUGUUCAUUAUAGCUACCGCUGGCUUCCCCAACUCUAGCGCAUACUGGAAGCUAGUGGUUUUUCAUGGUUGGUGGCCACCAUGUAGGCGAAAAGGCCACUUUCUAAGGCCCUUCCACGUAAAUUUCUUUUUGCUGUCGACUUGGGAUUUUUCGUUUACAAGGCCCGCAACAAAACUCCAGGGCUGACAAGGCCCGAAGGCAGGACUGGUGUGCGGGCUGUAUCGAACUAUGUGACGUCCGGGAUCAAGCCCAAUGUGGGGAACUCUCACACCCUGAGAUUAAGCCGGGCUCUGAGUUUACUUUUAAUUUAGGGAAGUAUAUUUUUUUUUUGUCUAUCACAUAAGUCCUUACUUGGUGUGUAUUUACAGGUCAGUCGACUGGGUAAAAAAAAUUGGAACAGAAAUCUGGUCACCCAUGCGCGAAUAAGUCGGAAGAUUACGAGGUUUUUUUCGGAGAGGAGUGGUGUGUGCGGUUGCAGGCUAUUAUGGUCUUUAUGGAACUGAUGGAUCAAUCAAACAUUAACACAAAAUUAAAAUAAAAAAACAACAAUUUAAUACGUGCACUAUAACGCCUCCCACCGAAGACGUUACAGCUUUCCCAGAUCAUCUAAACGGAUACAUCUGUCCUCUGGUUAGAUCCAGAGCGGAUAUCCUGUUAAUGAAUCUGUGUCACUUUUAAAUUUCAAACGGAUACUAUUCUCUGCCAUCUAUCCAAGAUAAUUUGUGCGAAACCGCUUAACCUUCUGAUCGGCGGGUCACAAACUAUCUUGUGGUCUAUUUCCAAGUGUCUCGAUGGAAUACACUUCCUAACUUCUACAAACCCUAUGGUUUCUUUGGUUUGGGCGCCAUAUUGUUAUGUGUCCCUCUUAGGCAGCCUGAGAUGUCUUGAUAUCGCCGACCAGCUCUGCCGACUCCCAUUGGGGUGAGUCCCAUCCCAACAUCCGGCUCAGGAACAACAACAAUAAACUAUGGGAAUUCACCAACAAAAGAACAACACUAUAAUGAUGAACAUGAUACCAUCCAAAUCCAUAACGUCUGUUGACACACGAGCCAUUUAGCCGCCCUCCCUACCUUUGAUCAUCUCUUCCUUUUAUUGUCCUGAUGACCCCUUUUUCCGCACAAUCCCACACCACUUACCUCCCUUUUAUUCCCUCCUUAAUAACUCUUUAACACAUCCUCAUUCUUUUCUUUCUUUAAACAUACAUUAAGUCAUUUUAUUAUAAUUGAUAU